UUCAAAUACGAAAAUAAAUAUACUCGUUUGAGUCAUCGUCUAUCUUUUAGCCCGAGACUUGACUUUGUACUAGACGUUAUUAAAGAUGGUGGACGAUUAGCGGUUUGUAACGUGUAUAUAUAAGAGAAACAUUGCCGUAAUCCAACAGAAUCGAUUGGCACAAACCAUAAUUACGGCUUUGGUUUUAGCAAG